CGGGAAGGGCGAGUAUUCUAGUUGUCUGAGUUGGCUAAAACGUCGCUUGCGCGUACUGGGACUCAAACACAGAGGGAAAGAGAGCAGAGAUGAAGUUGCAAGAGUUGUUGCAGCUAUUGCGAAAGAAUUGCAAAUUCUAAUGCAACAGUUGGCUAUCGCCAAUUGUGGUGAGUCAUCUAUGACAAGUAUGGUCUCAGAGUGAGAAGGCAUAUUAUCAUCAAUUAAAAUGUAUACUGAGUCCCACUGUGAAAGUCGAAUCUUUCAUAACAGAACUAGGCUGCCCUCGAGUUGUCUGUUCUGACCAUGGAACGGAAAAUUGUUUGCUGGCUGCAACUCAGGUAGCCUUUCGAUCAGAAGGUAAUGAUGAUCUGGCUGGUGCUAGAGUUAUCGUUGUGGAAAGUCACUAUGAACACACGAAUUGAGUCAUGGUGGUCUCAGUUGGUGUGGCAUAAAACAGGCUGGUGGAUAAAUUUGUUUAGUUAAGGUGUUUUUACCUUUGCAGUGUCUAGAAUACAUAAUAAAGUUUGUUGUUUAGCAAUUGGUGGAUGAUGGGUUUAUUUACAACGCUUGUCCCUUCAGAAAAAGCUGCUUGCAUUAUGUAUUUGUUGACAUCACUAAACGGGAUCUUGACAAUUUUACAUACUGGUGGAAUCAUCACGGCAUAAAAGUGUGUUCUUUUUCUUGAGUGUUGAUGGUUAGUCUCCUAGAUUACAAGAACUGCUCACAACAAACAUAUAAGCAGUCAGAGGAACAGACAAACCUGUCUUCAGUUCCUGUCUGUUGUAUCUUGAUAUCUGAUCUAGUGUAUG